GACGAAGGGGGCUAGCGUUGUUCGGAAUUACUGGGCGUAAAGCGCGUGUAGGCGGCCUUGUAAGUCCGUUCUGAAAGCCCGGGGCUCAACCCCGGGAGGCGGAUGGAUACUGCAGGGCUCGAGUACGGAAGAGGCGAGUGGAAUUCCCGGUGUAGCGGUGAAAUGCGCAGAUAUCGGGAGGAACACCAAUGGCGAAGGCAGCUCGCUGGGACGUUACUGACGCUGAGACGCGAAAGCGUGGGGAGCAAACAGGG
rnacentral:rRNA from 1 species